GACGAACGCUGGCGGCGUGCUUAACACAUGCAAGUCGAACGGAAAGGCCCUGCUUUUGUGGGGUGCUCGAGUGGCGAACGGGUGAGUAACACGUGAGUAACCUGCCCUUGACUUUGGGAUAACUUCAGGAAACUGGGGCUAAUACCGGAUAGGAGCUCCUGCUGCAUGGUGGGGGUUGGAAAGUUUCGGCGGUUGGGGAUGGACUCGCGGCUUAUCAGCUUGUUGGUGGGGUAGUGGCUUACCAAGGCUUUGACGGGUAGCCGGCCUGAGAGGGUGACCGGCCAAAUAGGGAAUGGGAUAAGGCCCAGACUCCUACGGGCGGCAGCAGGGGGGAAUGUGGGACAAUGGGCGGAAGACUGAUGCCGCAACGCCGCGUGGGGGAGGGGGGCGUUCGGGUAAUAAACAGGGUUCGACGGUGACGAAGCGUGAGUGACGGUAAUGGGUAAAGAAGCAACGGCUAACUACGUG
rnacentral:rRNA from 1 species